rnacentral:rRNA from 1 species
UACGAAGGGGGCUAGCGUUAAUCGGAAUUACUGGGCGUAAAGCGUGCGCAGGCGGUUUUGUAAGUCUGUCGUGAAAUCCCCGGGCUUAACCUGGGAAUUGCGAUGGAGACUGCAAGGCUGGAGUCUGGCAGAGGGGGGUAGAAUUCCACGUGUAGCAGUGAAAUGCGUAGAGAUGUGGAGGAACACCGAUGGCGAAGGCAGCCCCCUGGGUCAAGACUGACGCUCAUGCACGAAAGCGUGGGGAGCAAACAGG